rnacentral:lncRNA from 1 species
CUUGCUGCCACCAGAUGUCAGCACUGUACCAUAAUCUCAGAGCCCAGCUUUGCCGGAAACGUGUUUUCCGUGAUUCAAGAUGACUUUCAAAGGUGUCGGAUUAUCAGUUAAACCUUCCUAGAUCUGGAUGAGGUGGCCUAGCUGCAUCAAUGCAGAUUUUCUCUCCUGAUGCAAAUCCCUUCACAAAAGACAGCUUUGCAGGGAUACUUUUGUUUUCUGAUUGUCUGAAUAUCCAUGUCAAAAUACGUCAAAGAAGUAUAUUUUAGUGUAACAUAUUUUCAUUUCCUUGACCAUCCUCUACUCCAGGAAGCCCUCAUAACCUUUGGACUAAAUUAGCCUCCCUUCUCUUUAUAUGGGACCUGGCUCAUACCUGUACUGUAUUAUCCAAAAUAUACUGUAAUUGCAUGGUUGAACCUGGGAACCAUAUCUUAUUUGACUUUCUGUCUCUAGUACUCAUUUUAGUCUCUGAAAUAAAGAAGGCUUCACAUUUUACAAUAAGACAAAGAACUUACUUGUUUCCCAAAAAUGUUGCAAGGCAACCUUUCUUCCUUUUUUGGAUAGAGUUUUUUCCCUUAUAUUUUAUGAUAAAGAAAGGGGUUUCCCU